AAGAUGAAUUUGGAGCGACAAACGUUGCUAAAACUACUGUUUCUGUGGAAAGGGGAGAACAACAGCCAGGAAAUGAGGGGAAACAGAAUGCAAAUAUUCCACUCAGACGCUCUAGUAGGCAGAGAGAGGAACCUGAGAGACUUACCUACUUUCAGCUUGGAAACCCCCUGUCUUAUGUUGUUCAAUCUUUGUUCCAGGGGUUAAGUACUGCCCUUGUUAGCUCCCUCAAUAGUGUUGAAAAAUACAGGCCCCCUUUCCAAUUUACCUGAUGCUUCACCAAAUGUAGUGACUAAUCAGCCACUCAGAGCAUGCAAAGGGACUUGCAUGAUUUCAGGGGGGGAAAGUGUAACCCUUGUUAAAUAAUUGUUUAUGAUUAGUAUUAUUUAUUAUAAGAUUACUUAAAUAGAAUAUGAUUAUUCAUAUGGCAGAAAUUCUUUAUAAAUGUACAAAUAUAUGUAAAUAUUUAUAUCUGAAUUAAGUUAAGGAAUGAGCAAUGGCCAAUCGGAGCGUUGCAUUGUCAGCUCCGCCCCUUUUCCUACAGAUCGCGUUGCACAGUUCAGAUGAGAGACGGGGAGCAACGGAGAAAUUUGAUCAGACGUGUGUGUGUUAAAUGGUGAAAAAUACGAUUCCUAAUAUGUUUAAGGUUCACAUAAACUGGACAAAUUAGAGCUCAACCUCAAGAUAUUAGACGAUCCAGCAUGAUUGUUGAUUUUGACUCGUGGAUUAUAUCAGACCGCAUGGUGUAUUGAGUGUUCACUGCCGUUCGCUGACGCCAUUUUGUGCGUGCCUGUGAAAGAGAAAAGAGAGAAAGACGUGAAUGGACAGGCCAGGUUUUUUUUUUCUGUGUGAACAAUUUCCAAGUUGGAUUUCCCUAAUCGAUGGCGAGCCUCCCACUUCGACCCUGAAAGGAUCAUGAACCAAGAGGAAAGGACAAUUUUUCCAUUCCGUUGUUUUUCUUCAGACACGUAAGAGAGAACACAUUCCCAGAGACUGGUUCUUUGUAUUUUUAUUUUUUUUUAUGGGACUGAAACAUUUCAGUAGCACAAUUGAGAAACUUUAAAACUGAUUAAUCUUCCAAUUGAUAAAAACUUUGAAACUGGACACUGAUUUCAGUGUGGGUUAUAUGUGAUAUCACUGAGAUUUGGUUUAAUUUGUAUACGCAUUUGAUUGUGAUUGUGAUUACUGUAAAUUAAAAGUAAUUUAGAGGGUGCACCCAGGGUAUAUAUAUAGUUUAUUGUAUAUUUUCUCUUUUUGUUUGUUGUUCUGUGAAUUGAAGGAAAAAAAAGGAAAUACUGAAAGGAAAAGAAAUAACUGAAUAUUCAAAGUAAAGUUAUUUUUGAUUCAACUUACCUUUUGUCUCUGUGUUUUGCUCAGUAUCACCGCCGCCUCCCUUUACGUACCAUGCAGUCUUCUGAUUGUAUUUCUCUGGUCCAUUAGUGAGUGAGUAAA